rnacentral:rRNA from 1 species
UACGUAUGGGGCGAGCGUUGUCCGGAAUUAUUGGGCGUAAAGGGUACGUAGGCGGAUAAGCAAGUUAGAAGUGAAAUCCUAUAGCUCAACUAUAGUAAGCUUUUAAAACUGCUCAUCUUGAGGUAUGGAAGGGAAAGUGGAAUUCCUAGUGUAGCGGUGAAAUGCGUAGAUAUAUGGAGGAACACCGGUGGCGAAGGCGGCUUUCUGGCUAUUAACUGACGCUGAGGUACGAAAGCGUGGGUAGCAAACAGG